rnacentral:tRNA from 1 species
GCCGAAGUGGCGGAAUUGGUAGACGCACAGGACUUAAAAUCCUGUGUCCAGAAUUGGACGUGCGGGUUCGAGUCCCGCCUUCGGUA